rnacentral:rRNA from 1 species
AUGGGGAUCCUACAGUGCACCCGUCCUGUGUCUGCGGCGACACCGGCAGCGGCUAUCACCACCUCCGUGCCAGGUACCGGCUCCACGCCCCCAGCGCUGCCGCCGCCUCUCGCCACCGAUGCGCUCGCUGCGGCUGCCCUUGCCUCCCGCAAGGCCGCCCUAACCGUCGGUGGCCAUUUCUCCCAAGCUGGCCACCUCCCCGUCCUGCAGAAAUCCUCAUCUGAUGCUCGGCCCGAUUUGGAUCAGGAGCAAGCUACGCUGGGCCGGCUCGUCCUAAUUGGCGCUGUUUCCAUGAAGGUGCCACCAGGAAAGUCUGCUGCUCCGGCUCUGCCGACCGCUUCUGUCACGGCAUCGCAUGGUCUUGACUGCAAUAAUGUGAGCUCCGAUGAGGAUGUAGUUGUGGAGAUGGCGUUGCAGACGUCGCUGGCCUCGGCCAGUGCAGACCAGCUGACCCGCCGGCCGCAUUCUGUGUUGUGGGCUUCCGUUGCUGAUGAAGACGGCGACGAGGAUGACAGUGAGGAUCUGGCCCCCAGGACUCCACCGGCUGCUGCCAAGGCCAUCGACUCCGACUCCUCCAAUGUGUGCAUGGGGCACGGGCCGAACACAAGAGGGGGUUGGCAAGAGGUGCUGCUGCGGCGAGGUCCGCGGCACCCGUCAUCACCGGCCCUGACUUUGGCUGCUCGCCCAUUCCUGCUUGGCUGUAUGGCAGAUGCUGCAAAUGCCUUGCUCCUGGGCACCAUGCAGUUGUUUGCAGAGAUCCACUUCGGUGCUCCCGAUGUUUGCAGAAUGGUCACCUUGCGCGCGAGUGCCACAACACCUGGCGUCCUCUCAGCUCGCUAG